UUAUCGGCUGCCUAAGGUAACGCCGGUAAGAUCCAUGGUUAGGAGUCGCAGAGCAUCUGCUUGGGCACAGAUUCACUGUAGAGGAACACCUAAAGAGGCAGAGUUACAUCCAAGAGAUGCUCCGCACAAAGUUUCUGCUGCCACACACCCGCGUGCUCAGGUUGUGCUGCUGCUGGACUCAGAAUCAUGGGAAUACACGAUCCUAUCAGUUAAUAGACAGACGUACAUUGAAGCGAUGCUCUCCAGAAAGUUUCUGUUGCCGCACACCCGUGUGCUCUGUCCCGGUGCCGUUGGAACUCUUCAUUAACUCACAUCAGGUGCACACCUCGCGGUUUGUACUAAUUGUACAAUCACAGGUACUUUGGGAGUACAUAACACCAUCUCUGUUUAACAAACAUUGCUGCUAAAGGAACACAUCUUGAGGGCCCACAUUAUUAUUCAAAUUGAUGCUGAGGAUGAUGUAAAGAAGGAAGCGUUCAGCAGCACUUCACCCACCUCUGUACAGCAACUCCUCUCAGUCUCAUUACGCUGUUUAUCCAAACGCAGUGAGAUGCCAUCCCAUUGGUAUCGCGCUACUAAUUGGAACUGCUGCUUUCAAAAAGGAAAAUUCUUCUUUUCUGUUUCAGCAAUAGGUAAGCCAAGAAUGUCAGCAGCGAAUAUCUCUGCUGUGAUUUCCUCUGGAAUUUCUUCUUCAGAUAAAGCUGCUGCACCUGGAGAGCAAUAACAACAACAGAAAAAACCACACAAUAGCAGUGUGAAAAUGGCUUUCCAGAUCAGUAAAAUUUACAAGCAACAGAUCGUUACCACAAAAACUAGAAGGCAACUGGAACAAGAAGAGUGUACAAAUGAAACAGGACAGUUUGAAAGAGGAUUUGGUUUCUCUGAGAUAGAGAAACACAUCACCAGUUGAAACGCAUGAUCCCGACCUUGAUCCUAAGGAAAAUGGUUCUUGCAUAUUGUAUUUUGGGUAAGAAUGCUAAUAAAGAGAGAAAUUGUGAUGCAGACGGCUCUUUAGGCUACAUCGUACUUGCAGGGGCUUGAGCUUCCCACUGAAGAACUCCUGGCACGGGGCAGACCACAGUCCACAUCACCCCAUGUUCAUGGCUGCAGCCAUAUCCACAUAGAGGAGAUAGAGGAGGGUGCAGGAAAGUCCUGAUCUAGUAUCCUGGAAUAACCUGGACAUCGCACUUAUCCGCAGUUAUUGGCUGGCUCAUGCCCUGAGGCAUAAAGUUAUAGAUCUGUUAUGAAACUGUUCUGCCUACUGUAUCUAUUUAUGGAUGUUCACACCAUGCAUAUAAAUAACUAACCUUUCUCACACCGGUUGAAUCCUUGGUUUCCAAGGAUCUUUGUGGCAAGGAGUUUUCCAGGUGAUGUACCUGUUUAAAUGCUUAGCUGUACUAAAUGCUCCCUGCUUUUGCAACAGGAGCAAGGCAAUAAAAGUUUGUUAUUUCCCUCUCUGUGCAUAUUUAUACACGCCUUUACGAGUUCUCUCUGAUACAGCUGAACUAAACCCUCCUAUCUUUUCAUGUAGAUUCAGUCCAGGAGUGACCAAUUUAAUCUCUUUUUUCUUGUCCCCCCCUCUU